rnacentral:rRNA from 1 species
UACAGAGGUGCCAAGCGUUAGGCGGAAUCACUGGCUUAAGCGCGCGUAGGCGGAUGUUUAAGUGUCUUGUGAAAUCCCACGGCUCAACCGUGGAACUGCUGGGCAUACUGGACAUCUCGAGGCACUCAGGGGCGAGCGGAACAAGUGUGGAGCGGUGAAAUGCGUAGAUAUCACUUGGAACGCCAAUGGUGAGACAGCUCGCUGGGGGUGUCCUGACGCUGAGGCGCGAAAGCCAGGGGAGCGAACGGG